UAGUAGGAGCACUGCCAGCAGAUCGAGGGAAGUGAUUAUUCACCUCUAUUCAGCACUGAACCAAAAAAGGAGGAGAACUCUAAAGAUGGGAAGCAUUCGUAUUCUAAAGCCACAAUGAAGUACAAGCAGGGACGUGGAUCUGGACAUGGCCUGGUGCAACUGGUAACAGGCAUUCAGGUACUCUUGGUCCAAGGAAAGGCCUACCGUUCUGCCAUAUUGGAGAUGAAGGAUAAAGGCAGCAUAGCCCACCUAAAGACAAGCAUCUACUGAAACCAUGAAGCAGUUAUGAUCACAGACUCUCACAAGACCAAAACUUCUUUACAUAUUCUCCCUUCCUUUGAUGUAUCUGGUGCUGUCCCCUGGCAGACAGGAUACUGCACUAGACAGACAUCUGAUCAAGCAUAGUAAUUUCUAUGUUUUUUUCUAUGAACUGCUAUCAAUGGAUGAAAAUGCUCAGUUUCUGGAACCAAGAAGCCUGGAUGGGUCUACAGCUUUCAGUUAGCUUAGCCACUUAGAUACUAGAAGUGGACAUUUUUAGUUAACCCAAUCCCUUUAGUGGUUCUGGGACAUGAAGAAUAGUAUGCAAUACUCUUAAGAGUGGCAAUGUGCCAAGGCAAUUCUGUGGAGGAAAAACCUAAGAUACUCAUUCUGAUACAUUUUGCUGUUUUGUUAAGUAAUUUAUUAAAGAAAAAAAAUGAGUCAAUGAGGAUCACUGUCUAAACAGUUGUCCACAGCAUUAUUCGGUGUGGAAUACUCUCUUGUGCUGUCAGACCUCCGUCACAAGGGGGAUUUAGAUCCAGACAGAGGUAGGGAGCCACUAGGAAUGUGGUUCCUUAGGAAACUGAAAAGGAACAGGGGAGUAGGAAGUAAAGUGCAGGCAAUAGGGUUUCCUUGUAUAUACUUCAUUAUCCAUGGGUUAAGAGACUUCAUUGUCCAUACCUGCACAAUAAAGGUACAAACCCUGUUUCACUACCACAAGGGGAGCUGAACCUGGGAACUUAUCCCACAAGUGGUAUGAUUUGGCCAUGUGUAUUUUGACUGUGCUUCACUAGUUUAUACAAACUACCAAGUUUGCUGCCAUACUGCAUUUUCCAUUUGUUCAAGAACACUGAAUAUUCACUAUUUAGUGCACAUACACUAAUGUAGUAAAUUAAAAUUCAAAAAUGAAGAUUGACUAGAACAAUAAAUACAGAAAAUAAUAGAACUAAGAAGAAAGGAGCCAACACCUGUCCAUUCCUGCAGCCUCCAGCAAUGAUAUUGGGAUCAGAUGGACAGAAUUCAAAGCAGUAGACCUCUUCAGGGCACUCCAGCAUUAACUAGAAAAAAUAAUAAUCAAUUGAGAAAUACAGCCAUGUUGGAAAGAUUGUUCCUUUGUUGUCUGAAUGCUUUGAAUAUUUUAAAAUCCUGUUUAAAUACCUGAGGGUGAAUAGGGUCAGAGAAACUCCAAAAAAGAAUUGGUGACUUCUGCAACAACAGUUUACCAGAUUGGGUAAUACGUUCUUCAUAAGAAAGCCGCUCUGUUACUGACACUGCUAUAAUCCCUGAUCGAGGGGAAAACAAACAACUUCAUCGUCGAUAAAGGGAAAAUUUUAGCACUUCUACAAAAAAAAAAUGCCAUGCCCACUUCAAGUGUUAAUGGCUCUGUUAAUUAUUGCUUUAUAGGUGACCUGUAAAGAGAAAAAAUUGGCUAUGUCUCCUUUUUAUAUACAUAGCCAAUUUUUUCCCCACUGUAGGUCACCUUUAAAGCAAUAAUUUUAGUUAAUGAAUGAUUAGGCAUCUUAAAAAUGAGUGAUGGAAGCCCAAGACCAGAAUAUAACUCAAUAUUUUUGCUAAGAGACGUUAAAUUCUAGUCUCAAAACUGGAAUAACGUGACAGACAUGGUUAUGCUCUUGGGCACCCAUUAAGAAACCAAUUCCUUUGUCAUUAUACUUAAAAAGAAGGCAGAUUUCCUUUGCAUCCUGCAGUGUUGGCUAUUCAAUGGAAUGUGUGGAGCUGCAAUACCCCAAAGGAAACAUUAGGAAGCAUUCAGAAUGACUACUGGUGCUCCCUGCACUCAGGUGGAGCCACAUAGGCAAGUGGUGAGGAGAAGUUGAAAGAGAAGCAGGGCCCCAUGGAGCAGUGUGUGCUUCUGGGAGAGUAUGAGAAAGAAAUUAGGCCCAGCACAAUUAGAGUCCCUUUAAAUGGAUCUCACAAGGGGAAAAUUUCCUUCCUAUGUAUUCUCUACUAUACACUUGCACAAGAAAUCAUCUGGCCUACAACAUUACCUCUUUGAAUUCUACACAAUAUCUGUCCAUAUCCCACUUUAUCUCAAAUCAGUGGUUUCCACAUUUAAAAGCCAAUAAAACCUUUAUCAAUUUAAACUUUAAAGUUCUGAAACUAUUUCAGGCAUGAACUAUAUAUUUUAUAAGCAUUACCAUAAAUGGUUGGGUGCCAGCAAACACAGCUAACUCUUCUAUGCUUCAGAUAGUGCAGGUCUGUAAACGAUUGGUAUUCCUUUAGGUAAGCAUCUGACUUGCCACCAAAGGCACUUUCAUCUUCUGCUAAUGCUUUCCAGUCAUCAAAAAAGGCAUUCAUAAUUUCAUUUUGCUGCAAUGCUAUUUCCACUCU